rnacentral:rRNA from 1 species
UACGUAGGGCGCAAGCGUUAUCCGGAAUUAUUGGGCGUAAAGAGCUCGUAGGCGGUUUCGUAAGUCGGAUGUGAAAACUCAGGGCUCAACCCGGAGACGCCAUCUGAUACUGCGAUGACUGGAGUCUGGUAGGGGAUCACGGAAUACCUGGUGUAGCGGUGAAAUGCGCAGAUAUCAGGUGGAACACCGAUGGCGAAGGCAGUGAUCUGGGCCAGUACUGACGCUGAGGAGCGAAAGCGUGGGGAGCAAACAGG